UACAGAGGGGGCAAGCGUUGUUCGGAAUUACUGGGCGUAAAGGGCGCGUAGGCGGCCUGUUAAGUCGAACGUGAAAUCCCCGGGCUCAACCCGGGAACUGCGUCCGAUACUGGCAGGCUUGAAUCCGGGAGAGGGAAGCGGAAUUCCGGGUGUAGCGGUGAAAUGCGUAGAUAUCCGGAGGAACACCGGUGGCGAAGGCGGCUUCCUGGACCGACACUGACGCUGAGGCGCGAAAGCUAGGGGAGCAAACGGG
rnacentral:rRNA from 1 species